AAUUAGAAUCUAGAAGUAAAGUAAUGGCUGACGUUGUCGAACAUUCAGAAGCACUGGAGGCGUUCCACAGCUUGGAGACCGCAGAUAAAGGUUUUGAUGCGACUUGAUUACUGGAGAGUGAUGUCACUGCACACCAGGCAUUGAGGAUGUUCAGAAGGAUGCCGGUCGGAGGAAGGAUGGCGGUCACUUUGAUGCCGAGGUCAUUCAGCAACUGGCCACAUGCCUGGAGACUUGCUACAACUCCCUCGCUGCGUCCAUCACACAACGAACCAAUCGGGUGGAGGUGUCGCGCAAGUUCCAAUCAUUCCUACGGGACAUUGACGAAGAAGAUGUACUUCUGAAAAGAUGGUGAGAUCUGCUGUGGAAAUGCGUCGCCCAAUGUUUGCAGUUAUGACCAACGCUGCAGCUGCUGCUGGAGAUGCGAACACUACUGCAGCGGCGUCUAACUGAACCUCUGCGAAUGCGCCAACUGGUGGUGCUGCCGAUACUGCGGAGAGCACAGCUGUGUGUAUUGGCGUCACUGACAGUGCCAAUGAUCAAGCUGAUCAUGCUGAUCGUGCACCAUCAGGUCAAGGUCGGAACGAUGACAAUGAUGCUGCUGCAACCAACCCUGAGCUGGGUGAGUCUGAGCGAGUCACGCUACUAAUCGACUUGAACGCGGAACCCGCAGGGGACGUGUCUGAUAUUGCUGCUGCUGCUGUCGGAGCACCGGUGAUGAAGUGAUAGUGGUCGACAGACUUCCCACCGGUCGUGGGAGAAUUGAACCAUACGUGGCUUCAGUUACACCGUAUGAUGAGCAAUAGUAGAGAAGACAAGGAUGACUGAAGUGAAUGAUCGUAGGUAAUGAGUUGCCACAAGGCUUAGAGAGAAUAGGUAGUUGAGCAGUGCCGCUGUCACUGUGGUACUAUGCUGCACACAACCGAUACCACCACCAGCUCCGGCGUCGCUGCUGAUACAUUGCUAGGGUGGCUAGAGAAGUGACUCAGGACUACUAGCAACAGCAGCAACAGCAAUGACGGCUGUGGCAGUGGCAGUGUGGGCGGCAUUGUUAACCUGUGAGAAUGAUAGACUACGUGCGCAUGCUACUCAGAUCACAGAUGUGAAUCUACCGAGGAGUGAUACUGCCCUUUGUAUCUUCUUGGUGUCUAUUUAUUGUAGCGAGCAUGGAAGUCUCUGUCUUGUCCAGUGGCGCUACUCUUUCUACUUGUUUGUGAGUGGCUGUUCUAUUCUUUCCGGCUCUCUCUCUCUCUCUCUCUCUCUCUCUCUCUCUCUCUCUCUCUCUCUCUCUCUCUCUCUCUCGUGUUACUGUUGAGCUUCGAAGCUAGUACCGCCUCACUAUUAUUUUGAUGAUUUUGCCUUUUGAUCUGGCUGAGCAGCAGUGAGUGUUUGCACACUAUUGCUGGAACUCUCUUGCUUUUCUAUGUUUUGAUUGUCGGUUUGAUUUAUGCUUCUUCUGCUUUCUGCUGAAUUCUCUUGUUGUGUUAUGUGGUUUCUGGCGGAUGGUGCCAUGCUUAUGUUUAUUUUCGUAUAUGUUUCAUUGUUUGGUUUUAUGAUGUCGUCGUUGUAGCAGG